CAGCCGCCGCGGUAAUACGUAGGUGGCAAGCGUUGUCCGGAUUUAUUGGGCGUAAAGCGAGCGCAGGCGGUCAAUUAAGUUCGAUGUGAAAGCCCCCGGCUCAACCGGGGAGGGUCAUUGGAAACUGGUUGACUUGAGUGCAGAAGAGGAGAGUGGAAUUCCAUGUGUAGCGGUGAAAUGCGUAGAUAUAUGGAGGAACACCAGUGGCGAAGGCGACUCUCUGGUCUGUAACUGACGCUGAGGCUCGAAAGCGUGGGUAGCAAACAGGAUUAGAUACCCGUGUAGUCCCUGUCUCUUAUAC
rnacentral:rRNA from 1 species